rnacentral:lncRNA from 1 species
CCUUCGAGGGAAUAACCUGGAUUAUGGCCAAUACUUUCUACUUCUAAUAGUCUUCCAGUUUCAUUGUUCACAAGGGGUUGGUAAACAAAAAUCAAUGAAAAGAGCAGGGUCUUCUCUAUUUUGGAUUUGGACACUGAUGAUGAAGCUGUGAUAUUCUGAUCCAGGACUCAAUGGCUCCUCCUGGAUCUUCUAACAAGGUCAAUCUGGCUGAGUUCCAGACAGUCAGCUGAUGGUCUCAUAUGAGGAAUCUAAAGUUGAUGAAGAUGGUGGUAGUAGAGUGGUGUAAUCCUCAUAGCUCAAAAACGAUCAGAGCUCAUUAAUUAUUAACUAACUAGAACUUUUAUGGCUCAUUAGCUACUGGUUAAAUGUCAGUGGGCUGCCUUGUGCCUGGGUCUGAAGAGAAGAGGAAGAAAGAGGGGAGUCUGAUGGACAAAGCUCUGUGGAGGACGUGGCACUGAGCAGAAACUUGAAACAGAGCUUGACUGGCUGGCAGGAUGAGAAGAAUGGACUCUUGGCUGAAGGGGAAGCAAGCACAAGCACAUAGAGAUGAGGAAGCAUGGGUGGUGGUAUAUAGGGCUUGGUGUGUUAAUCAAACUGUCAGCAAAGGAAAAAAAAAAGAAGAAGAAGAAAGGGCACAUUCUAUCCAAAUGAAGAAAAAUCUGAGCUUUCUACAACAAACACAUUUUCCAGUGGAUGAGCUUCUCACACAGUAAUUAUUUCACUUCUCCCAGAGAUUACUGAUUACAUCACACAGAAAAACUAAAUGAGGGCUGUUUUAUCUUUCUCAUCUCUCUGUGGUUCUUGUGCAAACUUAUACUUGUUAUCAUGAAAAAUGACAAAUUUGCCAUCUGAUCAAAAUGUUAACAAGGUAACUGUCAGUGAGAUGGAUCUCUGACUGUCACUGCAAGCCAGAACAUGAGGAUACAUUGAUAUUUCUCAAUACAGCCCCUGCUUCCCCAACGUUCACUAACUACAUUUCCACAGUAAGGUAAUAAAUCACUCAGAAAUAACGAGCUAUAUAGGAUCUCUGGGGUAUGAUAGAUGUGUCCUAACAGCACUAUCUGCAAGAUAGAAAACAAUUGAUAAUGAUCUAAAGAA